CUUUGUUUGUACUUUUGCCAUUGUACAUAUUUUGCAUUUUUGUUAAGAUCUCUCUCAUAACCAGCUAGUCGGAACUUGGAAGCACCCCACCAAGCAUUUGUACAUCUUCAUCUGUUUUGCAACUUCCAGUGUGGCUUUCAAUAAUCUUUGUUGCAGAAUCCUAUUGGAAUAAGUUUGACGCCUUUGCAAUAUCAUGAUAUGAAGGUAAUGUGACCAUUACAAAAUGCCUGCGCAUUUCAGAGUGUUGCUCAAGAACAUGAAGGGAAAGAGAGGCAUGGGAUUCUUUGGUUUUCUUCUCUAUUAUUACUGUUUCAUAUGCUGUGGAGUUCUGGGUCACUGCUCCCCAUAUUCUCAAGAGGAAAUGGCACAGGGCACAUUCUGGAUAGGGCUUCAUUCGUCAUUCGACCCUUUACUAAACUAUAGUAUAAAUAGGUGGGGGGAAUCUGGAUGAGAAUUGCAGUGCGGAACAAGAUUGAUGAGUGAAUCUACUCUUCUGAGUUGAAACACUUUAUUUCAAUUCACUGCUUGUCUGAAUCGCAAAACCACAAACAAUAGAAAAUCGAAUUCUGUAUUUUGAAUGUAAAAGUGAGGAGUGUUGAGAGAUGGGGUGAGAGAUCGAGUAUGGACGCCAAGUUGUUGUUGUUGUUAUGCUGUUGCUGCAUUGCCGCAGUGAUGCUUGCAAUUGUUGAAGACGGUUUGUUCAGCUCAAAUGAAUGCUCAUGUGAUACCUUGCAAGCAACAAUUAGAA